UUUAGAGGAAGUAAAAGUCGUAACAAGGUCUCCGCAGGUGAACCUGCGGAGGGAUCAUUACACAAAUAUGAAGGCGGGCUGGAAUCUCUCGGGGUUACAGCCUUGCUGAAUUAUUCACCCUUGUCUUUUGCGUACUUCUUGUUUCCUUGGUGGGUUCGCCCACCACUAGGACAAACAUAAACCUUUUGUAAUUGCAAUCAGCGUCAGUAACAAAUUAAUAAUUACAACUUUCAACAACGGAUCUCUUGGUUCUGGCAUCGAUGAAGAACGCAGCGAAAUGCGAUAAGUAGUGUGAAUUGCAGAAUUCAGUGAAUCAUCGAAUCUUUGAACGCACAUUGCGCCCUUUGGUAUUCCAAAGGGCAUGCCUGUUCGAGCGUCAUUUGUACCCUCAAGCUUUGCUUGGUGUUGGGCGUCUUGUCUCUAGCUUUGCUGGAGACUCGCCUUAAAGUAAUUGGCAGCCGGCCUACUGGUUUCGGAGCGCAGCACAAGUCGCACUCUCUAUCAGCAAAGGUCUAGCAUCCAUUAAGCCUUUUUUCAACUUUUGACCUCGGAUCAGGUAGGGAUACCCGCUGAACUUAAGCAUAUCAAUAAG
rnacentral:rRNA from 1 species